rnacentral:rRNA from 1 species
UACGUAGGGUGCAGGCGUUAAUCGGAAUUACUGGGCGUAAAGCGUGCGCAGGCGGUUUCUUAAGUCAGAUGUGAAAGCCCCGGGCUUAACCUGGGAACUGCGUUUGAAACUGGGAGACUCGAGUGUGGCAGAGGGGGGUGGAAUUCCACGUGUAGCAGUGAAAUGCGUAGAUAUGUGGAGGAACACCGAUGGCGAAGGCAGCCCCCUGGGUCAACACUGACGCUCAUGCACGAAAGCGUGGGGAGCAAACAGG